CCACCAUGAUGCGAACACGUUUGGAUCAACAUCUUAAAUCAUUCCCAAGCUUCGUGAAAGCUUUCUUCUUCUAAAUAUGUAAAUGUAGAGAUCUCCCUCCUAAGUUG
rfam:Gossypium hirsutum cultivar TM-1 chromosome 20, whole genome shotgun sequence